GUGAGUGUGGUGCGGAGUGAGCCCAGGCAAGUAACGGACUGACUGGCUCCUUGCAUGUGAAACGCUGUCGCUCUUUAUCCGAAUUGUCGUGAAGAAAUAUGCUCAGAGUGUUUUAAUCGCCUUACAAAUUUACUUGAGCAAAAAAUCACCUGAGAUGAGGUAAAAUAUGCGUCGAUGGGCAAAACUAUUUAUAUGCUCUUCUGUCCCAACCAGAUAUCGGUUAAAUUCAUAAAUACCUCAAGGUUAUCCUCUUUGAGUAAGCAAUGUAUUAAGAUUUGUAAGUAUCUCCUGGGGCGUUCAAGGGACUUUAACUUGCGUUAGAGGGUGUUAUGACAAGUGUAUCUGUAAAGAGGGAGACGUGAACUCUUAAUGAACUGACAGCAGCAGCGGAGCCCCGGCAGGUCGCCUUUGGCGGUGAUUGAAUUAACGGGCAUGGGGCUGAGCUGAUCUCCGAAGCAGGAGGCCAGGUGGGACUUCCCUCAGAGUGGGAGACAAGGCCCCCGGUAGGCUGGUCUGUGUGAGCGUGUGCAUGUGAGUGCACUGGGUGCUUAGCUUGGGCCCAGCUUCCAGAGAUUGACUGGGUGUAUGUUGUUUGGCUGCAGUUGUACUGUAGUGUAAGUGAGAGGGUGUUUGUGGGAGGGGGGGUAAGGUCAGUAGGGGUGAGAGAGCAGGUGAGGGUCAAAGAGAGGCAUCUGGCCCUCAGCGUGUCUCAUUUUAAUUAGUGCUCCAUGUGACUAAUAACAUUCCAAUCAACUUGUUACCGCUCCAUUAUCACCUGGCAGCGAGCCUGAAAUCAAGACAGAGCAGAGCAGGACCUGGGGCCCUGGUCCACAUCCCACCAUGGGUCUCCCGGGCCCUAAUGAGCCCCACGCUACCCUACACUCAGCCUGAUUACACUCAAACCCACUCCAUCUCUUUCUCCCUCUGCCUCUCCUUUUCGCUUCCUUACUCUCUUCCCAUCGAAAUCUGACGCAAGGUCCUUGUUUCCCUCUCCAGGAAUCACUCCACGUUUGGGCCAUGUGUUCACAGCAGCGGGAGGACAAACACUGGUGUAUACUCGUCUCUCUUUAACCCAGUCUAACCAGCUGCUUUUUGAGGCAGGGGAACAAGCUGAGCUUUUUUGUUUUAAUUUCGGUGCCGUUCCGCUGCUUCCUGCUACACUGAGCUAUUAGACGUUAUGGUCUGUGGACCAUUGCAAUGGGGGGAGAUCUGAACGAGAGUCCUUGUUGAUUGAUUGCAGGGAAAUAUGUGUUUAUUUGGGCUGGUUUUGGGUCAUAUUUCUGUGGCAUGUAGAGGGUUUCUUUUUUUAUGACAUCAGGCCAGAAACGUAGCAGUACUCUCUGUCCAUUCAUGGGGAUCCUGUCUUGUAUGUCAUGUGUGUUUUAAUCAGAUGUAGCUUUGAGGGUGAAACGCGAAUGGAAUCUGGUAAGGGUUAAUUUCAGCUUCUGAAUAAAAUUCACUUUGAAUUCAAAUCACCCACCUGCUUUCUGGUUUCAAGGUGUGGAUGGGUCAGGUGGUCCUUGUCACCUGGUAAACCAUAAACCCAACGGUGGUACAGUGCAGUUUCACCAUCCCAUGCGGCUUGUUUCGGAGGGUAAACGAAAGGGCAAUGAUAGAAAUUACGCUUUGCUGAGUGACUCCUCCUGGGACACUCGCCUUGGCCGGAAGCCCAGGAACCAGGAAGUCAGAAGCAGGCUAAGAGGGAGAGAAAGGGGCGAGCGGAGAGAGGAUGUGGAAACACAAGACCGAGCAAUGGGAGGGGCCUGAUCAAGUCAGAUUGCGGAGCAUGCACUGGAACAGCUCGUUGCUGCACCCACUACAUGACAAAACACCUCGGUAUCCCAGCUAGCAACCCCCCAGACCGACACAUGGUCCAGUCCCACCCUCCUGAAAUGGCCCU